GCAAGCGCUAAAACUUCCUGAAAUUUUUAAGUAACGCAUUUUUUUUCGAAUAUAAAAGAAGUCUUUUUACAACGACAAAUAGACGCGUUCUAGCUAAUUUUUAUUUUUGUUAUCAAUUACUUGAAAAUUGUGGUAAUAUUGAUACAGGUAAUGAAAUUUUUUACAGAUAAUAGAAGAAACGGUUUAAAACUGAACAUAUGCUAUACUAUUUAUAUAUAUAUACUUGAUAUACUAUUAGUAUAGUAUUGCUAUAUCAAGAACCAAGCUCUAACAAUUUCAAAGAUUUAGACAUCUCAUGUAGAAUCGAAUUUUUCAAUAGAAAAACCUGUUAAUGAUACAUAGAACAAUUAUCCUGGUAAUUUUUUGAAUUCAAUGUCUUUAUUCGACAAUAUUAUGCUAUUUUGGAAUGGGACCAGUACCUUAGUUAACCUUCUUGAAAUAUUGCCAUAUCAAGGUUUGAAAAAAGAUGCAAGGAGAAUUUUAAAAACACCUAAUGAAAAGGGACUUAUAGACAGAAGCGUCAACUACAUCAACUGUCAGUUGAUAUAUAUGUUUUGGUCAAAUAGUUGUUUGUAUUAGGUCCUCCAAAAUUUGAAAGUCUGUGAUUCAAAAUUUUGCUUUUCCCAAAAAAAAAGUUAAAGGAAAUAUAUAAAGUCAAUGACAGAUCUUAAAGUUUUACAAAGAUUAAUAAAUAGAAGUUAUUAAAUGUUGGUGGCUCAUCAUGCAGUGCAUAUGAGAAGGGCAUGCUUU